UACGGGGGGGGCAAGCGUUGUUCGGAAUUACUGGGCGUAAAGGGCUCGUAGGUGGCCAACUAAGUCAGACGUGAAAUCCCUCGGCUUAACCGGGGAACUGCGUCUGAUACUGGAUGGCUUGAGUUUGGGAGAGGGAUGCGGAAUUCCAGGUGUAGCGGUGAAAUGCGUAGAUAUCUGGAGGAACACCGGUGGCGAAGGCGGCAUCCUGGACCAACACUGACACUGAGGAGCGAAAGCCAGGGGGCAAACGGG
rnacentral:rRNA from 1 species